rnacentral:rRNA from 1 species
UACGGAGGGUGCAAGCGUUAUCCGGAUUCACUGGGUUUAAAGGGUGUGUAGGCGGGUAUUUAAGUCAGUGGUGAAAUCUCCAGGCUCAACCUGGAAACUGCCAUUGAUACUAUUUAUCUUGAAUAUUGUUGAGGUAGGCGGAAUAUGUCAUGUAGCGGUGAAAUGCUUAGAUAUGACAUAGAACACCGAUUGCGAAGGCAGCUUGCUAAACAAUUAUUGACGCUGAGGCACGAAAGCGUGGGGAUCAAACAGG